rnacentral:rRNA from 1 species
UGGGGAAUAUUGGGCAAUGGAGGAAACUCUGACCCAGCGACGCCGCGUGCGGGAUGAAGGCCUUCGGGUUGUAAACCGCUUUCAGCAAGGAAGAAGCGAAAGUGACGGUACUUGCAGAAGAAGCACCGGCUAACUAUGUGCCAGCAGCCGCGGUAAUACAUAGGGUGCAAGCGUUGUCCGGAAUUAUUGGGCGUAAAGAGCUCGUAGGUGGUUCGUCACGUCGGAUGUGAAAAUCUGGGGCUUAACCCCAGACCUGCAUUCGAUACGGGCGAGCUAGAGUGUGGUAGGGGAGACUGGAAUUCCUGGUGUAGCGGUGGAAUGCGCAGAUAUCAGGAGGAACACCAAUGGCGAAGGCAGGUCUCUGGGCCAUUACUGACACUGAGGAGCGAAAGCGUGGGGAGCGAACAGGAUUAGAUACCCUGGUAGUCCACGCCCUAAACGAUGUCAACUGGUUGUUGGGUCUUCACUGACUCAGUAACGAAGCUAACGCGUGAAGUUGACCGCCUGGGGAGUACGGCCGCAAGGUUG